UACGAAGGGGGCUAGCGUUGCUCGGAAUCACUGGGCGUAAAGGGCGCGUAGGCGGCCAUUCAAGUCGGGGGUGAAAGCCUGUGGCUCAACCACAGAAUUGCCUUCGAUACUGUUUGGCUUGAGUUUGGUAGAGGUUGGUGGAACUGCGAGUGUAGAGGUGAAAUUCGUAGAUAUUCGCAAGAACACCAGUGGCGAAGGCGGCCAACUGGACCAACUACUGACGCUGAGGCGGCGAAAGCGUGGGGAGCAAACAGG
rnacentral:rRNA from 1 species